rnacentral:rRNA from 1 species
UUUGAGAGUUUGAUCCUAGCUCAGGAUGAACGCUGGCGGCAUGCCUAAGACAUGCAAGUCGAACGAGAUGGCCCAAUGACCCAAUUUGAAUAUUUGCGAGCUUGCUCAAUAAUAGGAUUAUUGGUGAUUUGGAUUUUCUAUCUAGUGGCAAACGGGUGAGUAACACGUGGGUUACCUGCCUCUAAGUUGGGGAUAACAGUUGGAAACGAUUGCUAAUACCGAAUGUGCUCUACGGAGUAAAGAAGCCUUUAAAGCUUCGCUUAGAGAUGGGCCUGCGGUGCAUUAGCUAGUUGGUGGGGUAAUGGCCUACCAAGGCAACGAUGCAUAGGGGGACU